CCACAAGAUGGGUUCAAGGACCUAUUUUGACUCUGUGACUUCCCUUUGGCAGUUGUGCCACUACUUGUAGCCACCCUGCUACUCUGGGAUCUAAUUACGCCUAUUGCAUUCAUGUUUUGCGAAUGGUUGCAGUUCCCACUGUAAGGUCUGGCCUACAGAGACAAGCAAUCAUGGAGUUCGUCGAGGAUGAAUAAUAAGAAGAAUGGAAAAGCCAGAAAGAAGAAAAGACCCAUGAAGAAACAUGUCAAUAAAACUGCUUCCUCAAGCGAUUUAGACAGUUCCCCUGAAGGAGAACUGAGCAGCCCCUACCUGGUGCUCAGAACCGGAUUCUUCCUCAGCGUACAAAGAGUUCUAUAAUGGCCAUGGAGAAGAGGAGGUUAGGAUCCAUUUGGUACCAAUGACAGAGAAGGAGAGAGAAUCAGAAUCACGCAGCCAAACAGAGAAGAGAAAAAUACAACAGAGGGUAUAAGUUAAGGUUACCUGCAUCUUCUGUUUUUAUUUCUCUUCUCCCUCUUUCAUUCUUUCUUUCACUCUGACUUAUAAGUGGAGACUUAAUGUACUAAAUGAUGUGAUUGUUACCAUAAUAAAGAAAUAAAUGGUGUGGUGA